rnacentral:rRNA from 1 species
AUGAGCAGUUCUUCGGGACCACCUAUUGCACGAAGACAGAGGAGGGUAAUAAGGCCAGCAACAUCUCAAAGGUCUCCAUUCAUUGACUACAACAAGAAGAAGACUUUCAGCUCCAAUGAGGCAGUGAAAAAGCUUUACGCUGCCCUCUUGUAUUGGGUUAGGCAUCACGAAGGAGCAAAUGAUGAAGCUACCAGCCCUGAGAUAAUCAGGUAUGGUGAUUUCUACAUUUCUUUAAAGGAGUUAGUUGAUUCGAUGAAGCCGGUUCAAUGGCUGUCAAAAAUUGUUAUUGAGACUGGAAUCUUACACAGCAUGGGGAACUUACCAGAAGGGUCAAAGAAGGUUGUUAUGCCACUGAGGUUUUCUAUGAAUUUACAGCAGGGACCCACAACGUGA